rnacentral:lncRNA from 9 species
AAGAAUGGAUCCUAAGAAGCAAAAGGGAUGAUUGUGCUGGCUGUCUUCUGUUUGCUCCUCCGAAUCUAUUCCUUACCCUUCUUUCUCUCUAUAGGACUAACCUAUAUGGACCUAAAUAGACAUCAAUGAUGUACAUCUCGUCAUUGUACAGGUUUUUUUUUUUUUUUUACUUUCAGAUUUCAUUAUUUUAUUAACAUCUCCUCCCCUCAUUCCUUUGGCCCGAGCUUGAUAACUCUUUGUUGGUUCCCCUAUGGAAACAUAUUUGUAAACCACAUCUUUAUAGUCACAGCUCCUUAAAUUAUCCUAUUUCAAUUGUAUCGGCAAUUUCCUUGGGCACCAUUGAAUAUGGUGAGUUGUUUGGGGUGUUGUUGAAUCUGAGGUCCUGAAGAUUCACAUUGAAGAACGUUCCAAAGAAAGAGCUGAGGCAAGGUCUGAACUGGUGAUGUACAUUUGGAAAUCAGUAGCACAUAAGUAGAAAAUGAGAUCACCCAUGUGAAGCACCAGGCAGAAAGCAUAAUCCUGAGAACACAGUCACUGAUGGGGCAAGCAUAGGAUCGGGAUCUUACAAAGGAAGGAAAGAGGGAGUUCCCAUUGUGGCUCAGUGGUAAUGAACUUGACUCGUAUCCAUGAGGACGUGGGUUUGAUCCCUGGCCUCGCUCAGUGGGUUAAGGAUCUGGCUCUGCCAUGAGCUCAGAUCCCGAGUAACUUUGGCUGUGGUGUAGGCUGGCAGCUGCAGCUCCAAUUCAGUCCCUAGCCUGGGAACUUUCAUAUGCCAUGGGUGUGGCCCUAAAAUGACAGAAAGAAAGGAAAAAAAAAAAAAAACCAAGAACAAAAGAAGGAAAGAUGUCACAGGUAUCACAAUAUGAAGGAACGUGUGACAUAAGGGUAGUAAAGGGGGUGGAGGGUUCAAAACAGGAGACUGUCAUUGUCAGCGUCUAUGUGCAGCAGAAAGAGCCAGUCAGAUGACAAGUUAAAUAAGGAACUCCCAUAUGCCACAGAAAAGAAAAAGAAAAGAAAAGAAAAGAAAGCUCUAUUGCAUGUGGCAAAUGCAGAGUCAAGAUUAUGGAAGCAAUUGAAAAGUCAAUACAGACCCAGUAAUACGG